rnacentral:rRNA from 1 species
GAUGAACGCUGGCGGCGUGCCUAAUACAUGCAAGUCGAGCGAAUGGAUUAAGAGCUUGCUCUUAUGAAGUUAGCGGCGGACGGGUGAGUAACACGUGGGUAACCUGCCCAUAAGACUGGGAUAACUCCGGGAAACCGGGGCUAAUACCGGAUAACAUUUUGAACCGCGUGGUUCGAAAUUGAAAGGCGGCUUCGGCUGUCACUUAUGGCUGGACCCGCGUCGCAUUAGCUAGUUGGUGAGGUAACGGCUCACCAAGGCAACGAGGCGUAGCCGACCUGAGAGGGUGAUCGGCCACACUGGGACUGAGACACGGCCCAGACUCCUACGGGAGGCAGCAGUAGGGAAUCUUCCGCAAUGGACGAAAGUCUGACGGGGCAACGCCGCGUGAGUGAUGAAGGCUUUCGGGUCGUAAAACUCUGUUGUUAGGGAAGAACAAGUGCUAGUUGAAUAAGCUGACACCUUGACGGUACCUAACCAGAAAGCCACGGCUAACUACGUGCCAGCCGCCGCCGUAA